CGCUUCAUAAACACGGUCUGGGCCCAAAGCUCAGCAAACAGCUUCCCCUGAAACGUUUACAGACCAAACACUAACUCUAACCCGUUUCUCCAAAAAGCUAAAGUCUUCAUUCUACAAAACUAUUCCUGCCUCAUGCAACGCAAUACCCUUAAAUCCGUCUCCUCUCUCUCUGCGAGGAGAGAGGAGUUGCCAAUUGAGGCGAUGCAGAGGCACAGAAUGAAACCUAUUUAGAACAGAUGUUAGUAUUUUUUAAAAAAGUCACGUGAAUUGAGCAGAUGUUCAGACCGCGCGCUCGCCGUGCAGCGCAUUUCUCUGCAGGGAGAGCUCGGAGGAGCUCUGCUUCCUCACAGCCGCGCACGGAGACGCUGAAGCCUGGCGUUCACAUUAUACACGACGCUUGAUUAAAAUGGAUUUAUAAAAAGGGCCACCUGCUGGGAGAAGGACUCUGGCUGGGCCUGACCCUCGGCGCCGAGACAAAGCAGGACCAAGGCGCCGACUCUCCCUACACGCGUCGGGACCCUUCAGCUCACCAGGCGGCGACCCACCUGGUCGGACCAAAGACGAUAACCUGAACAGCAGCAAACGCGGUCCCACGAGCUGGUGUUUUAACCAGGUCGGUUUCCUUGGUGCCAGAUCCUUGUCCACUGUGAUUGGCCGGUUUGACAUGAGGUCAGUGGGGUCAAACACGGGCUCAGCUCUGUGACCUCCAGCAGAGGGACUACACCUUCAGCCUCGAGUCACACGGUUAGAGCUGCCUCUAUUCUGAUUAGGCUCCUUACACACAUGGUAAGAAAAUCCACAGAGAGCAGCCUUGAGUAAACGGCGACAUUGGGUUUUACAUGACAGUAACAAUAAUUAACUGGAUUAAUGUGGAGGGAGCUGAAAAAGCUGUGUUUAUUAAUUACAGCGGAGGUUUUAGUUAUGUUAAUGCCAAGUUUGAACGAUCUUGGAGAAACAAAAUCGCCUGAAUGAUUAAUGCAAUUAAUUUUAAAAAUGCUGACGGCGUUUCAUUUGUUGGCUGAAACGUUGCAUAAGCGUAAAAGAAUCUUGGUGCGAUUGACCUCAUUGGUUUCAUGUGCUGUAACGCAUAUGUAAACGAGGGAAAGCAGCUUCAAAUGUUGACGCAAUGACUCACAUCUUGGCUUAUUGUUCAUAGAACUGCUUUGGUGCAGCUAACGGACACAUUGCCCUUAAAUAUAAAUGAAUAGGAUGUCAGAGCCACUGCAUCUGCCACGGGAAAGCGCGUCUGGGCCGCGUUCUGCUGCGUCUGAACCGAACGGUCUCGUACCGGCGCUCAUCAUCCAAAAGCGAAGAAACACACGUUCAAUUUCCACGGGCGACAGCGGAACACAACUGGGAGCGCAUCAGGAAACACGGCGUUGUGUUUGUUUUACGAGUGUAUUAUCAUGUCAGAAGAACAUGUUUCUUUAGGGAAAAGCUCAAACGUUAAUAAAAACACGCUGAACCAGGA